CCUACGGGAGGCAGCAGUGAGGAAUAUUGGUCAAUGGACGAGAGCCUGAACCAGCCAAGUAGCGUGAAGGAUGACUGCCCUAUGGGUUGUAAACUUCUUUUAUAUGGGAAUAAAGUGUUCCACGUGUGGGUUUUUGUAUGUACCUUAUGAAUAAGGAUCGGCUAACUCCGUGCCAGCAGCCGCGGUAAUACGGAGGAUCCGAGCGUUAUCCGGAUUUAUUGGGUUUAAAGGGAGCGUAGGUGGGUUGUUAAGUCAGUUGUGAAAGUUUGCGGCUCAACCGUAAAAUUGCAGUUGAAACUGGCAGCUUUGAGUACAGUAGAGGUAGGCGGAAUUCGUGGUGUAGCGGUGAAAUGCUUAGAUAUCACGAAGAACUCCGAUUGCGAAGGCAGCUCACUAGACUGCAACUGACACUGAUGCUCGAAAGUGUGGGUAUCAAACAGGAUUAGAUACCCUUGUAGUC
rnacentral:rRNA from 1 species